UACGUAGGGUGCGAGCGUUAAUCGGAAUUACUGGGCGUAAAGCGUGCGCAGGCGGCUUCGCAAGUCAGACGUGAAAUCCCCGGGCUUAACCUGGGAAUGGCGUUUGAAACUACGGAGCUGGAGUGUGGCAGAGGGAGGUAGAAUUCCACGUGUAGCAGUGAAAUGCGUAGAGAUGUGGAGGAACACCGAUGGCGAAGGCAGCCCCCUGGGUCAAGAUUGACGCUCAUGCACGAAAGCGUGGGGAGCAAACAGG
rnacentral:rRNA from 1 species